GUUUGAUCCUGGCUCAGGAUGAACGCUAGCUACAGGCUUAACACAUGCAAGUCGAGGGGUAGCAGGGUAGCAAUACCGCUGACGACCGGCGCACGGGUGAGUAACACGUAUCCAACCUACCAUUCACACGGGGAUAGCCUUUCGAAAGAAAGAUUAAUACCCGAUAGUAUAACGAUAAGGCAUCUUAUUGUUAUUAAAGAAUUUCGGUGUUUGAUGGGGAUGCGUUCCAUUAGAUUGUUGGUGAGGUAACGGCUCACCAAGUCUUCGAUGGAUAGGGGUUCUGAGAGGAAGGUCCCCCACAUUGGAACUGAGACACGGUCCAAACUCCUACGGGAGGCAGCAGUGAGGAAUAUUGGUCAAUGGACGAGAGUCUGAACCAGCCAAGUAGCGUGAAGGAUGAAGGCCCUAUGGGUCGUAAACUUCUUUUAUAGGGGAAUAAAGUGCGGAACGUGUUCCGCUUUGUAUGUACCCUACGAAUAAGGAUCGGCUAACUCCGUGCCAGCAGCCGCGGUAAUACGGAGGAUCCGAGCGUUAUCCGGAUUUAUUGGGUUUAAAGGGAGCGUAGGUGGAUAUAUAAGUCAGUUGUGAAAGUUUGCGGCUCAACCGUAAAAUUGCAGUUGAUACUGUAUAUCUUGAGUGUACAAGAGGUAGGCGGAAUUCGUGGUGUAG
rnacentral:rRNA from 1 species